GGCUUUGCUCCUGCACUCUUGUCAGUGGCCCUGGUAUGGGGUUGUUCAGGAGUUCAACCAGCUUCCCUGGUGCUGCAACUUGGUUCUUUGGUUCUCUGAUUCUGAGUGUGCCCGGCGGGCCCUGGAACAGUUGAAUGGCUUUGAGCUUGCUGGUCGACCUAUGAGGGUUGGCCAUGUGACUGAGCGACUGGAUGGUGGCACAGACAUCACUUUUCCUGAUGGGGACCAGGAGCUGGAUCUGGGAUCAGCAGGUGGACGUUUGCAGCUCAUGGCAAAACUGGCAGAAGGCUCUGGAAUCCAACUGCCAACCACUGCUGCUGCUGCUGCUGCUGCUGCUGCCCAAGCUGCUGCCUUGCAACUGAAUGGAGCAGUUCCCUUGGGGGCCCUGAAUCCAGCAGCUCUGACUGCUCUGAGUCCAGCCCUGAACCUUGCCUCCCAGUGUUUCCAGCUCUCCAGCCUCUUUACCCCCCAGA
rnacentral:sRNA from 1 species